rnacentral:rRNA from 1 species
AUUGAACGCUGGCGGCAUGCCUUACACAUGCAAGUCGAACGGUAACAGGUUAAGCUGACGAGUGGCGAACGGGUGAGUAAUGUACCGGAACGUGCCCAGUCGUGGGGGAUAACUACUCGAAAGAGUGGCUAAUACCGCAUACGACCUGAGGGUGAAAGCGGGGGACCGUAAGGCCUCGCGCGAUUCGAGCGGCCGAUAUCAGAUGAGCUAGUGGGUGGGGUAAAAGCCCACCAAGGCGACGAUCUGUAGCUGGUCUGAGAGGACGACCAGCCACACUGGGACUGAGACACGGCCCAGACUCCUACGGGAGGCAGCAGUGGGGAAUUUUGGACAAUGGACGCAAGUCUGAUCCAGCCAUGCCGCGUGCGGGAAGAAGGCCUUCGGGUUGUAAACCGCUUUUGUCAGGGAAGAAACGAGUUUCUCUAAUACAGAGACUUAAUGACGGUACCUGAAGAAUAAGCACCGGCUAACUACGUGCCAGCCGCCGCCGUAAUAC